GACGAACGCUGGCGGCGUGCUUAACACAUGCAAGUCGAACGAAGAGCGAUGGAAGCUUGCUUCUAUCAAUAUUAGUGGCGAACGGGUGAGUAACGCGUAAUCAACCUGCCCUUCAGAGGGGGACAACAGUUGGAAACGACUGCUAAUACCGCAUACGAUCUAAUCUCGGCAUCGAGGAUAGAUGAAAGGUGGCCUCUACAUGUAAGCUAUCACUGAAGGAGGGGAUUGCGUCUGAUUAGCUAGUUGGAGGGGUAACGGCCAACCAAGGCGAUGAUCAGUAGCCGGUCUGAGAGGAUGAACGGCCACAUUGGGACUGAGACACGGCCCAGACUCCUACGGGAGGCAGCAGUGGGGAAUCUUCCGCAAUGGACGAAAGUCUGACGGAGCAACGCCGCGUGAGUGAUGACGGCCUUCGGGUUGUAAAGCUCUGUUAAUCGGGACGAAAGGCCUUCUUGCGAAUAGUGAGAAGGAUUGACGGUACCGGAAUAGAAAGCCACGGCUAACUACGUG
rnacentral:rRNA from 1 species